GAUUACCAGUUUAUUAUACAGGGUACAACAAAGGAACAGCCAAAUGGAAGAGGUGAGCAGGACAGGUAUGGGGCUCAGAGCUUCUGUGUCCACUGCAGGCGUGCUGCCCUCCCAGCACUAUCGGGGGAACCCAUCCCCAAUAUUUCAACGUAGGUUCUUUCUAUUUUCCCUAAGUGUCGGCCAGUCUGAGAAAUAGAGUACAAAGAGGAAGUUUAGAGCUGGGCUGCCAGGGGUGACAUCACAUAGUGGUAGGACCGUGAUGCCCACCUGAGCCGCACAACCAGCAGGUUUUUAUUAAGGACUUCAAAAGGGGAGGGGGUGUACGAACAGGGAGUAGGUCACAAAGAUCACAUGCUUCAAAGGGCAAAAGGGAGAACAAAGAUUACGUGCUUCUGAGGCCAAUAAAGAUCACAAGGCAAAGGGCAAAAUCAAAAACUCCUGGUAAGGGUCUAUGUUCAGCUGUGCAUGUAUUGUCUUGAUAAACAUCUUAAACAACAGAAAACAGGGUUCAAGAGCAGAGAACCAGUCUGACCUCAGAUUUACCAGGGAGUGGUUUUUUCCCCCACCCUAACAAUCCUGAGGGUACUGCAGGAGACCAGGGCGUAUUUCAGUCUUUAUCUCAACUGCGUAAGACAGACACUCCCAGAGCAAGCAUUUAUAGACCUCCCCCAAGGAAUGCAAUUAUUUUCCUAGGGUCUUAAUAUUCCUUGUUAGGAAAAGAAUUUAGCGAUAUCUCUCCUACUUGCACGUCCGUUUAUAGGCUCUCUGCAAGAAGAAAAAUAUGGCUCUUUUUGCCCGAACCCACAGGCAGUCAGACCUUAUGGUUGUCUUCCCUUGUUCCCUAAAAUCGCUGUUCUGUUCAUUUUCAAGGUGCACUGAUUUCAUUAUUGUUCAAACACACGUUUUUUUUUUUUUUUGGUUUGUUUGUUUUUUGAGAUGGAGUCUCACUCUGUCGCCCAGGCUGGAGUGCAGUGGCGCCAUCUCAGCUCACUGCAAGCUCCAUCUCCCAGGUUCAUGCCAUUCUCCUUCCUCAGCCUCCCGAGUAGCUGGGACUACAGGUGCCUGCCACCACACCCGGCUGAUUUUUUGUAUUUUUAGUAGAGACGGGUUUUCACUGUGUUAGCCAGGAUGGUCUUGAUCUCCUGGCCUCGUCAAAUGCACGUUUUACAAUCGAUUUGUACAGUUAAUGCAAUCAUCACAGUGGACCUGAGGUGACAUACAUCCUCAGCUUACGAAGAUAACAGGAUUGAGAUUAGACAGGCAUAAGAAAUUAUAAGAGUAUUACUAGGAAGUGAUAAACGUCCAUGAAAUCUUCACAAUUUAUGUCCCUCUGCCGCGGCUCCAGCCGGUCCCUCGGUUUGGGGUCCCUGACUUCCCGCAACACAGCACAACCCAGAACCUCUGUAAGCCUCAUUGGCUAAGAGUUUUUAUCAAGGCCUCAUUACAUAGUCAUGAUGGAUUGGAUUAUUGAUCACAUGAUUGAACUUAAACUCCAACCCCCUCCCCUCUCCAGAGGUUUGAGGGUGGGGCUGAAAAUCCUAAUCCUCCAAUCAUGUGGUUGGGUCCUCUGGUGUCCAGCCCCCACCUUGAAGGGGCCCCACCACAAUCACCUCAAAAGCCUGAAUAGAAAACUUUUAAUGACUGCACCUGGGAUGGAUGCCUGAUAUGGUUUGGAUCUGUGUGUCUGCCCAAUCUCAUGCUGAAUUCUAAUCCCUAAUGUUGGAGGUGGGACCUGGUGGGAGGUUACUGGAUCAUGGGGACAGUUCCUCGUGAAUGGUUUAACACCUGGGUGCUGUCCUCAGACAGUGAAUGAGUUCUCACGAGAUCUGGUUGUUCAAGUGUGUGGCACCUCCAUCCUCUCUCUGCCUCCUAAUACAGCCAUGUGAAGUGCCUUGCUCCCCCUUUGUCUUCUGCCAUGAUUGGAAGCUUCCUGAGGCCUCCCCAAAGGAAAAGCCACUAUGCUUACUGUACAGCCUGCAGAACCGUGAGCCAAAUAUACCUCUUUUCUUUAUAAAUUAUCCAGUCUCAGGCAUUUUUUUUUUUUAGAUGGAGACUUGCUCUGUCACCCAGGCUUAAAUGGCACAAUCUUGGCUCACUGCAACCUCCGCCUCCCGGGUUCAAGCAAUUAUCCUGUCUCAGCCUCCUGAGUAGCUGAGACUACAGGUGCACGCCACCAGGCCCGACUAAUUUUUGUACUUUUAGUAGAGACAGAGUUUCACCAUAUUGGUCAGGCUGGUCUCGAACUCCUGACCUCAGGUGAUCCACCGGCUUUGGCCUCCCAAAGUGCUGGGAUUACAGGCCUCAGCCACCACACCUGGCCUCAGGCAUUUCUUUAUAGCAGUGUGAGAACAAAUACAGUGCCUCACAGAGAGAUGCUGAUUCUCAAAACCCAACAAUACCACCUUGCUUGCAGACCCCCAAGACUCUGAUCCCAAUACAGCCCACAGAAGCAUGAGGCAUACCAUAGGAGGACAGCCUAUACACAAAUCAUUAAACUGGACAUAAACAGCAUUCCACUGAAACUGGAAAUAAUAUACACAAAACUAUGCCUGAACAGAUUCAGAAGGCAUAAGUAUGUGACCCAAGUGAGUGACCAAACACAUGCUGCCGCCUCUUCUACUUCACACCCCUCAGUCUACAUCUGUGGUUUCACGGGACGCUCCCUAGGACCAGUUGACAGAAGACGAAAAAAUACAGGUUUGUUCUACCAACGGAUCCAUACGGUAUGGUGGCAUGAACCAUAAAUAGUUGCUACACUAGUGACUCACACCUGAAAUCCCAGCACUUUGGGAGGCUAAGGCAGGCGGAUCAUGAGGUCAGGAGAUUGAGACUAUCCUGACCACCGUGGUGAAAUCCCAUCUCUACUAAAAGACACAAAAUUAGCCGGGCAUGGUGGCGUGUGCCUGUAGUCCCAGCUACUCGGGAGGCGGAGGCAGGGGAAUCGCUUGAACCCGGGAGGCAGAGGUUGCAGUGAGCUGAGAUCGCGCCACUGCACUCCAGCCUGGAAGACCGAGUGAGACUCCGUCUCAAAAAACAAACAAAAAGAUGGUUGCUACACUACAACCUAGUUUAGGGUUGGAUUUUUGAAGAUUUCCAGCUGGCAAAACUUGGGAGGGUACAGCUGGUGGUCCAUCUUAUGUGGAAAGGAAGGUGUCUGAAUUUACUGAUCUGCAAGCAUUCCCAUGCAGUUACGCACUGUCCAGCUGGUCAAUAACAGAAAGAUUGCAAAGAACGGUUUCAAGGAAGUCUUCAGUGCCGGGCUCAGUGGCUCAUGCCUUUGGGAGGCUGUGCCUUUAGCAUGCUGUCUCAGCGCUCUGCCAGGCAGGAGGGCCCAUGGACACUACACUUCCUUGGCUAUAAAGUGAAUCUCGUUUGAAAUGUUGUGUGCUUAUGUCAGUGAAACAAACACUCCUUAAGCCUUUCUGGCUGACACUUGUGAGUAGGAAAAGACAAGCCUCGUAUCUGGAAUAUGAGACUAUUCUUGUGAAAAGUGAACCACCAGCCCUUCCAGGAUGGGAGAGUUCCAAUACAGUAAACUCUCCUUAUAAAAUGGGGACUAUGUCUAAAGACCUCUGUAAACCUGGAUGUUUGUGCUCCUUGAUGAAGUGACCCACAAUGGGAGUAUAGCACUGGUCUCUUUUGCUGGCAGGUUAGAUAUUUAGGGGCAGCUAGAUAUUAACCAAAGCCGGGUAGAUCUCUUUUGCUGGCAGGUUAGAUAUUCAGGGGCAGCUAGAUAUUAACCAAAGCUGGGUAGAGAGCAUGGGUUGCUG
rnacentral:lncRNA from 10 species